AGAGUUUGAUCCUGGCUCAGAUUGAACGCUGGCGGCAGGCCUAACACAUGCAAGUCGGGCGGUAGCACAGAGAAGCUUGCUUCUUGGGUGACGAGCGGCGGACGGGUGAGUAACGCGUAGGAAUCUACCUAGUAGUGGGGGAUAGCCCGGGGAAACUCGGAUUAAUACCGCAUACGCCCUACGGGGGAAAGCAGGGGAUCUUCGGACCUUGCGCUAUUAGAUGAGCCCGCGUGGGAUUAGCUAGUUGGUAGGGUAAAGGCCUACCAAGGCGACGAUCCCUAGCUGGUCUGAGAGGAUGAUCAGCCACACUGGGACUGAGACACGGCCCAGACUCCUACGGGAGGCAGCAGUGGGGAAUAUUGGACAAUGGGGGCAACCCUGAUCCAGCCAUGCCGCGUGUGUGAAGAAGGCCUUCGGGUUGUAAAGCACUUUCAGUGGUGAGGAAGGCAUGAUGGCUAAUAUCCAUCGUGAUUGACGUUAACCACAGAAGAAGCACCGGCUAACUCCGUGCCAGCAGCCGCGGUAAUACGGAGGGUGCAAGCGUUAAUCGGAAUUACUGGGCGUAAAGCGCGCGUAGGUGGUUUGAUAAGCGGAGUGUGAAAUCCCCGGGCUUAACCUGGGCACUGCAUUCCGAACUGUCAGACUAGAGUGCGGUAGAGGGUGGUGGAAUUUCCUGUGUAGCGGUGAAAUGCGUAGAUAUAGGAAGGGAACAUCAGUGGCGAAGGCGACCACCUGGACUGACACUGACACUGAGUGCGAAAGCGUGGGGAGCAAACAGGAUUAGAUACCCUGCAGUCCCACGCCCGUAAACGAUGUCGACUAGCCGUCGGGUCCCUUUGCUGGACUUCCGCGAAGCUACGCGAUAGGUUGACCCGCCCUGGGGAGUACCGAUCGCAGUUAAAACUCAAUGAAUGACUGAGCCGCACAGCCGUGGAGCAUGUGUUUAAUUCCGA
rnacentral:rRNA from 2 species